rfam:Populus trichocarpa scaffold_8_contig_110, whole genome shotgun sequence.
UCUAGAACUCGAGAUAUGAGCUGAACAUCGAACAAUGUAUGGGCUACAUGACAUAUUCAAACUUCUCUUUUGUUGCUAAGAUUUGAACUUGAAAAUGACAGCUUUGAAUCUUGGACUUUUAAUGCCUAUGUUUUAUCUUUCCAUC